CCGACCCACAUCUCGGCCGCCGUGCCCUCGCCGCAGCAGCAGCAGCCAGCGGCAGAUUAACCCAGAGGAGCAGUGUUUCCGUCGUUGGUCGCACGCGGAUUCCUGGUUUAGUGCCUCCGCAAUUCCGCAUUGACUUCUCCUCGCGCGCGCCUACUCUGCCGCCAUCCUCCUUCUCCUCCCUCUGCACGCGUGUCCCCCCUUCUCUAUCUCAUCCCCCGCACCGCGCACGACAGGAGAAAAAAAAUGCGGCCGCUGCCCUCAAGCGCCCGAUGCAGGCCAGCCCGCCGCUGCCCCGCCCCUCCACCGGCGCGCCGCUGGUACUGCCGCCUCGCCCCUGACACGUGCGAGAGCUACUGCGGCCGACCUCAAAUCUGUCGCCCUCAACCCAAUCCCGAUUUUUCCAUCAUUCCGAAUCCCAACUCGCAGGCUCGCAUCACACGACCUCCCUCCCUUGGCCUAGCAAACUGCCCUUCUCGUCCCCUCCUGGACCUGGGCGAGGCAGCGCGCGCAGGGGCUACGAGCCAGGCGCAGCUCGCGUGCGGCGACGCGCAGGGGGCGCGGGCGGCUGCACGUGCCGGGCUCAGGCGGCGCAGGGGCAAGCGGCAUGCAGCGGCCCGGUACGGGCGCUGGCAAGAAGCGGCAGCGCGUGGUGGGCUCGGGCUGCGCGCAAAUGGCCCUGGCGCCGGAGUUCACUGGGCGCAGGCAGCGGAGGGCGGCAGGCAUGGCCGGCAAUGCGCAAGAAGUGGAGGCGCACGACCUCCUCGCCGCGACAGGACGCUGCGGCGGGCCUCCCCUUGCCGGCUACCAACUUGAUGCUAUCAUGCCCGUCAGGUGUUCGAUGAUGUGCCCCAGCGAGGACAGCAUUAACAUGGUCAUCCCCAGCCAUGGAGAGCGUCGUUGGUCCGCAUCAUCACGUCAGCGGUUAUUGGUAUAAGCAGCACCUAUCACUCAUAUAUGUGUUUAGUUCUGAAUCUGAAAUAACACCAAAAGAUUGUACACUAAAGUAUAGAGUGUUGGUGCAUGUUAUAUAGCAAAACAUGCACUAAAGUAUAGUGUCGGUAAAGAUUGUACACUGAAGUAUAUGCGUUGUCUAUCAAAAAAUUAUACUCCAUCGGAUCCAUAA